rnacentral:rRNA from 1 species
GGCGGUCUCCUCCUAAAGAGUAACGGAGGAGCACGAAGGUUGGCUAAUCCUGGUCGGACAUCAGGAGGUUAGUGCAAUGGCAUAAGCCAGCUUGACUGCGAGCGUGACGGCGCGAGCAGGUGCGAAAGCAGGUCAUAGUGAUCCGGUGGUUCUGAAUGGAAGGGCCAUCGCUCAACGGAUAAAAGGUACUCCGGGGAUAACAGGCUGAUACCGCCCAAGAGUUCAUAUCGACGGCGGUGUUUGGCACCUCGAUGUCGGCUCAUCACAUCCUGGGGCUGAAGUAGGUCCCAAGGGUAUGGCUGUUCGCCAUUUAAAGUGGUACGCGAGCUGGGUUUAGAACGUCGUGAGACAGUUCGGUCCCUAUCUGCCGUGGGCGCUGGAGAACUGAGGGGGGCUGCUCCUAGUACGAGAGGACCGGAGUGGACGCAUCACUGGUGUUCGGGUUGUCAUGCCAAUGGCACUGCCCGGUAGCUAAAUUCGGAAGAGAUAAGUGCUGAAAGCAUCUAAGCACGAAACUUGCCCCGAGAUGAGUUCUCCCUGACUCCUUGAGAGUCCUGAAGGAACGUUGAAGACGACGACGUUGAUAGGCCGGGUGUGUAAGCGCAGCGAUGCGUUGAGCUAACCGGUACUAAUGAACCGUGAGGCUUAACCUU